AGUGAACGCUGGCGGUAGGCCUAACACAUGCAAGUCGAACGGCAGCACAGGAGAGCUUGCUCUCUGGGUGGCGAGUGGCGGACGGGUGAGGAAUACAUCGGAAUCUACUCUGUCGUGGGGGAUAACGUAGGGAAACCUACGCUAAUACCGCAUACGACCUACGGGUGAAAGCAGGGGAUCUUCGGACCUUGCGCGAUUGAAUGAGCCGAUGUCGGAUUAGCUAGUUGGCGGGGUAAAGGCCCCCCAAGGCGACGAUCCUUAGCUGGUCUGAGAGGAUGAGCAACCCCACUGGAACUGAGACACGGGCCAGACUCCUACGGGAGGCAGCAGUGGGGAAUAUUGGACAAUGGGCGCAAGCCUGAUCCAGCCAUACCGCGUGGGUGAAGAAGGCCUUCGGGUUGUAAAGCCCUUUUGUUGGGAAAGAAAUCCAGCUGGCUAAUACCCGGUUGGGAUGACGGUACCCAAAGAAUAAGCACCGGCUAACUUCGUGCCAGCCGCCGCUGUAA
rnacentral:rRNA from 1 species